AGAACUUUGGUCUGAGCUUUGAAUUCAGUGUGCAAAGCCUGUCAUUUCCUUAUGUGCCUGUCCAAAUGACCAUGUAAAUUAAUUAUGCUUUCAGUAUUUUUAUAUUCUGUUCUACUUCUGUUUUUCUUUUUUUUUUAAAAAAUGUUCAAUUAGUUUGCAAUGGUCUAAGCAAAUGAGGAAAUCUGCCAGAUUAUUGACUACUGCUUUAUUUGAAAAAUAUUUAUGAAAUCCUGAAUGGUUACAAAUGUCCCAAAUGGUUAGCUUAUUUCUGAAAGCUUAAAACUCUGCUAAAGGGAUAUACACCAUUUUAAUGCAACUAUGAACAGAGAUACUAGUGUGCUUGAGUUGGUAGGGGUUACGUGGAACUCAUUUUUGCAUCUUGUAUGUGCCACCCUGCUUAAUCCUUUAUAUGUGUAGGAUUUUAUUUUAUACUUAUAAGAAACUUUCAAGGUAAGUUUUAAGUGUCUUCAUUGUAAAGAUGUGGACUCAGAAAAUUUAUGUGACCAGGAAGCUUCCAACCAUGAAUUUAGACUAAUCUGUGUAAUUCCCAAAUCUGUGCUGCUUGUACCACCACCUGCCUCCCUCUAAAUGUUGAUUUGCUUCCCUAGUAAGUAGUUUCUGAA